rnacentral:rRNA from 1 species
GAUGAACGCUGGCGGCGUGCCUAAUACAUGCAAGUCGAGCGAACAGACGAGGAGCUUGCUCCUCUGACGUUAGCGGCGGACGGGUGAGUAACACGUGGAUAACCUACCUAUAAGACUGGGAUAACUUCGGGAAACCGGAGCUAAUACCGGAUAAUAUAUUGAACCGCAUGGUUCAAUAGUGAAAGACGGUUUUGCUUUCACUUAUAGAUGGAUCCGCGCCGCAUUAGCUAGUUGGUAAGGUAACGGCUUACCAAGGCAACGAUGCGUAGCCGACCUGAGAGGGUGAUCGGCCACACUGGAACUGAGACAAGGUCCAGACUCCUACGGGAGGCAGCAGUAGGGAAUCUUCCGCAAUGGGCGAAAGCCUGAAGGAGCAACGCCGCGUGAGUGAUGAAGGUCUUCGGAUCGUAAAACUCUGUUAUUAGGGAAGAACAAAUGUGUAAGUAACUAUGCACGUCUUGACGGUACCUAAUCAGAAAGCCACGGCUAACUACGUG